UUGGUAUUCAAAAUAAGCCUCUGACGUUUUAUUCAUCAGCUGGGUUUUAUACAUUAAAAAGUAAAUGCUUACUUGCAAAUACUCUUAGAACAGUAAUAGGAAGGGAGUACAGAUAAGGGAUGAGCGUCAUGUAUACAUAACAAAUAAGUUUCAAAGUAAGAGAGAACAAAAAGAUUAGAGCAGAGACAUCUUAGGUGGGGGCUCUCUGCUCCCGGAACUUAGACAUAUAUG